UGGUGAAUUUACUUGUUUAAUAUUUGAAACAACUGUCGUUUACAGGAGUUCGACAAGACUGUUAAUGGAAGGGAGAGUUCAGAAUGUUCCCAGUUUGAUGACCCACUUAAGUCUGGUCUAGUGUCUGAUGAUCAAGAUUCUAAAGUGGAGCUUCAGAGAAAGAGGAAACGGAAAGAUUCCAAUGUUCAAGAUUACAGUGCCGAACCUUUUACAAGGAUAUUAAGAAGCAUGAAGGCACCUAGAAGAUCCAUACGGCUAUUCUCCAAGUGGAAGGGGCCUUAGCUUUUCUUAAUGUAUGAUUCCAGCAUUAAAGUAGAUUGUUUUAGGAAAUGAAACUAGAACCUGAAAAUAAAGAAUACCUUCAUUUUUUUGGUAAACAAGAGUACAUUCAGUUUAAUAUCAGUGUUCAUUUUCUUUAAUAAUGGUGAGAAAAAUGCAUCAAAUUCAAAUAA